GCAGACCUAUUAACCGAAAAAUGGCCUCCAAGGUUCUCGCAGCCGCCGUCCGCCGAUCGUUAUCCCCCAGAAUCCCGACAUCCAUCCGCUCUCUGUCCACCGCCGCUGCGGCCGUGGCUGAACCAUUCGACGAGACAGCCGGAAUCUCAAUGAAAGGGGUAAAGAUCUCAGGAAGACCUCUAUACCUUGAUAUGCAAGCUACCUCCCCUGUCGACCCCAGGGUACUCGACGCUAUGCUUCCUUACUUCGUGUCUCGCUACGGAAACCCUCACUCACGCACUCACCUCUACGGCUGGGAAUCCGACGAGGCAGUUGAAGUUGCAAGAGCUCAAGUCGCCAAUCUUAUUAACGCCUCCCCGAAAGAAAUCGUCUUCACAUCCGGCGCCACCGAGUGCAACAACAUCUCCGUGAAGGGUGUGAUGCACUUCUACAAAGAGAAGAAGAAACACGUAAUUACGACUCAGACGGAGCAUAAGUGCGUACUUGAUUCUUGCCGUCAUUUACAGCAAGAGGGUUUCGAAAUCACUUAUCUCCCGGUCAAAUCUGAUGGUUUGGUAGACCUAAAUCAGCUCCGAUCUUCAAUUCGGAGCGACACAGGGCUUGUGUCGGUGAUGGCAGUGAAUAAUGAGAUUGGGGUUAUUCAACCAAUGGAGGAAAUUGGCCAGAUAUGUAAGGAAUUCAAUAUUCCGUUUCAUACAGAUGCGGCACAGGCGUUGGGGAAGAUUCCUAUUGAUGUGAAUAAGUGGAAUGUGAGCUUAAUGUCGUUGAGUGGGCAUAAAGUUUACGGUCCCAAGGGUGUUGGGGCUUUGUAUAUGAGGCGGAGGCCACGAAUUAGGGUUGAGCCACAGAUGAAUGGCGGUGGGCAGGAGAGGGGCAUUAGGAGUGGGACAGUGCCAACACCAUUGGUUGUUGGAAUGGGUGCUGCUUGCGAGCUUGCAAUGAAGGAGAUGGAAUACGAUGAGAAGAGGGUUACUAAACUGAAAGAUAGGAUGCUCAAUGGCAUCAGGGAUAGACUUGAUGGUGUGGUGGUGAAUGGAAGCACAGAAAGCCGGUAUGCAGGGAAUUUGAACUUGUCUUUUGCAUAUGUUGAAGGAGAGAGCUUGUUGAUGGGCUUGAAGGAAGUGGCUGUAUCAAGUGGGAGUGCAUGUACUAGUGCUAGUUUGGAGCCAUCUUAUGUUUUGAGAGCUUUGGGUGUUGAUGAAGAUAUGGCCCAUACUUCUAUUAGGUUUGGAAUUGGGAGGUUUACCACUGAGGAAGAGAUAGAUAAAGCGAUCGAAUUAACUGUUAACCAGGUUGAGAAGUUGAGAGAAAUGAGCCCACUUUAUGAAAUGGUGAAGGAAGGGAUUGACAUCAAGAGUAUACAAUGGUCCCAACACUAAUCUAAUUGGCACGCUUGGUGGAGUUGCUGUCUUAUACCUGCUGUUGUUACAGGUGGCCCUUUGAAUGGAUGAUUAAACCUGGAACAACAAACACAAAUACAUGUAUGUCUGAUGAAGAUCUGUAAGCCAUACUGGAAUCCCUUUUUCUAAGAGACACAGGAGAGAAAUAAGGCUAUUACACUCCAUUGAUUCAAUCUCAUUUAUAUUUAAACAUUACAAGCAGAGAGAGCUUUUUUAGUUUUGGUGUUGGCUUUAAAGUGUCUAUGAUUGAUGUAGUAGCUGUAUAUAAUGGGUAUGUUCACAUCUGAUCUUAAGGUAUUUUUGUUUUAGCUUCUAGCCCUGGAGCCCAAUAGGGCUGAACUCUGAAGCACAAAUCAAUUAACAAGGAAAAAGAUUCUCAAGUACA